rnacentral:rRNA from 1 species
AACAGGGAUUGCUCUAGUAACGGCGAGUGAAGCAGCAAUAGCUCAAAUUUGAAAUCUGGCGUCUUCGACGUCCGAGUUGUAAUUUGUAGAGGAUGCUUCUGAGUAACCACCGACCUAAGUUCCUUGGAACAGGACGUCAUAGAGGGUGAGAAUCCCGUAUGCGGUCGGAAAGGUGCUCUAUACGUAGCUCCUUCGACGAGUCGAGUUGUUUGGGAAUGCAGCUCUAAAUGGGAGGUAAAUUUCUUCUAAAGCUAAAUAUUGGCCAGAGACCGAUAGCGCACAAGUAGAGUGAUCGAAAGAUGAAAAGCACUUUGGAAAGAGAGUUAAAAAGCACGUGAAAUUGUUAAAAGGGAAGGGAUUGCAACCAGACUUGCUCGCGGUGUUCCGCCGGUCUUCUGACCGGUCUACUCGCCGCGUUGCAGGCCAGCAUCGUCUGGUGCCGCUGGAUAAGACUUGAGGAAUGUAGCUCCCUCGGGAGUGUUAUAGCCUCUUGUGAUGCAGCGAGCGCCGGGCGAGGUCCGCGCUUCGGCUAGGAUGCUGGCGUAAUGGUCGUAAUCCGCCCG